rnacentral:rRNA from 1 species
GCAGUCGUACGAGAAUCCCGAGCCUGCUUGGGAGAGUAAAGUGGCGCACGGGUGAGUAACGCGUGGGUAACCCACCUUCGAAUUUGGGAUAACUCCGCGAAAGCGGUGCUAAUACCGGAUAAGACCACAGCCGUUUCGGCGGCAGAGGUAAAAGCUGACCUCUCCGUGGAAGUUAGCGUUCGAGGACGGGCCCGCGUCCUAUCAGCUUGUUGGUGGGGUAAAGGCCUACCAAGGCAGCGACGGGUAGCUGGUCUGAGAGGAUGAUCAGCCACACUGGAACUGGAACACGGUCCAGACUCCUACGGGAGGCAGCAGUGAGGAAUUUUGCGCAAUGGGGGAAACCCUGACGCAGCAACGCCGCGUGGGUGAAGAAGGCUUUCGGGUCGUAAAGCCCUGUCAGGUGGGAAGAACCGUUUCGAUACUAAUAAUGUCGAAGCCUGACGGUACCACCAGAGGAAGCACCGGCCAACUCCGUGCCAGCAGCCGCGGUAAUACGGAGGGUGCAAGCGUUGUUCGGAAUUAUUGGGCGUAAAGAGCGUGUAGGCGGUCCGGUAAGUCAGAUGUGAAAGCCCUGGGCUCAACCCAGGAAGUGCAUUUGAAACUACCAGACUUGAGUACAGGAGAGGAGGGGGGAAUUCCCGGUGUAGAGGUGAAAUUCGUAGAUAUCGGGAGGAAUGCCAGUGGCGAAGGCGCCCCUCUGGACCGAUACUGACGCUGAGACGCGAAAGCGUGGGGAGCAAACAGGAUUAGAUACCCUGGUAGUCCACGCCGUAAACGAUGAGCACUA